rnacentral:rRNA from 1 species
UAGGGAAUCUUCCACAAUGGACGCAAGUCUGAUGGAGCAACGCCGCGUGAGUGAAGAAGGGUUUCGGCUCGUAAAGCUCUGUUGUUAAAGAAGAACGUGGGUAAGAGUGACUGUUUACCCAGUGACGGUAUUUAACCAGAAAGCCACGGCUAACUACGUGCCAA